CCUACGGGAGGCAGCAGUGAGGAAUAUUGGUCAAUGGACGAGAGUCUGAACCAGCCAAGUAGCGUGAAGGAUGACUGCCCUAUGGGUUGUAAACCUCUUUUAUAAAGGAAUAAAACGAGGCACGUGUGCCUUUUUGCAUGUACUUUAUGAAUAAGGAUCGGCUAACUCCGUGCCAGCAGCCGCGGUAAUACGGAGGAUCCGAGCGUUAUCCGGAUUUGUUGGGUUUAAAGGGAGCGUAGAUGGGUUGUUAAGUCAGUUGUGAAAGUUUGCGGCUCAACCGUAAAAUUGCAAUUGAUACUGGCAGUCUUGAGUACAGUUGAGGUAGGCGGAAUUCGUGGUGUAGCGGUGAAAUGCUUAGAUAGCACGAAGAACCCCGAUUGCGAAGGCAGCUUACUAAACUGUGACUGACAUUGAUGCUCGAAAGUGUGGGUAUCAAACAGGAUUAGAUACCCUGGUAGUC
rnacentral:rRNA from 1 species